GCGUGCUGACUCACUGCUGGUGUGCCCUUGUCCGCAGGCCUCUCGUAGUGUGCCCGUGCCAGAGACGCCUGGAGCCCAAACCGUUGCCUGGCCUCCACACUGCUGGGUACUGAGCACUGAAGGGGACUGUACAGUG
ensembl:snoRNA